GCUAAUACUAUAUAGUGUAUAGUGAGCUGAACUAAAAGGGACAGUAGUGAGGCAGUUCUCUUGUGAACUAUUAUAAGCUGAGUUCAGCAUGAAUGGAGCUCUCUUAUACACACUGUGGCUGCUUCUACUGAAAAGUUCUUACAGUGAAGCAGUUCUGAUCACACAGUGGCCUAAAGACAUCAUAAGUCCAUCAGGAGCAUCAGUGGACAUGCACUGUUACCAAAACGACACGGAUUAUGACUAUCUGUACUGGUACCGACAGCUCAAAGGAAAAGAACCAGCACUUAUAGGCAGAUUUGUAGCUGGCUCUGCCACGUAUGAGAAAGGUUUUGAGAGUGGCUUCAGCAUCUCCAGCACAGAAAAGAAGAAAUGGUCCCUGAAUGUAACUAUCAAGGAGGACAGCGAUGCCGUUUUCUUUUGUGCUGCUAGUUUCCACAGUGAAUGA